rnacentral:lncRNA from 1 species
UUUACACGUGAAUUUUGUGUGGGAAUUAUAAUUGUUUUUAGAUAUAUAGUGAAAACUAAAACUGUUAAUUAGUACUAUACAUAGGUGUUGGGGUGGGGGGGGGGGGGGGGGGAGGGGAGGGGGGGCAUGGAAAUGUCUCGAGAAAUUAUCAAACGGAGGGAAUUAAGGUUGAGCUUCAAGAAAUGAUUACGAGUGACAUUGUGACAAUUAUUCAAGUUGAUGAAUAAUGUACUAAAAUUAGUGGCGGUUGAUAGAUAUAUCACAAAUAAAUCUGCUUCAUAUACAUUCAUGCAUGCAUCCACUUGGAACCUAAAAUGCACGAAAAAACAAGAACGCAUUUAAUUUUGUUGCAAUCUAUUGUGUAUUAAAUUGUCUUCCCAAAAAGUUAUUUUCUCAUGGGGUAUAAAACAAAUUUAAUUUAUUGCACAAAUAUUGGGAAGAAAGAAGAAAAAUCCCCAUGCAUUUCCCAUGUAACAAGCGAUGAUAUUUGUGAGCCUGAGCCUCACUACGAUCCUAUCCAUUUCUCCCAAUCUCUUUCAACUUCUCAAACUUUGAUAGUCCCUGCUCUCAAAGCAAUCUCUCAAUGCCGAUACGCAUAAUCUCCACUCCAAUGCUCAUAUUCAAACAAUAUUAAGCUGUGGUUCUCAAGGCCGACGUACGUGUUGUCGUAGGAGCCCUGCUAUUCAAUUGAGAAUUAUAUUUUUUAUCCCAAAUUUUGGUGUGGAGGAGCCCCAUCUAGCUAGCUAGUAGUCUUCACAAUUAUCUAUGCGUUGUAGAAUUUUAAUUAAAGGCAUAAAUAUUGUUUUAAAUCAUUUACUUAUUAAAAA